UCCUGACUGACCGAUAGUGAACCAGUACCGUGAGGGAAAGGCGAAAAGAACCCCGGCGAGGGGAGUGAAAAAGAACCUGAAACCGUGUACGUACAAGCAGUGGGAGCACGCUUAGGCGUGUGACUGCGUACCUUUUGUAUAAUGGGUCAGCGACUUAUAUUCUGUAGCAAGGUUAACCGAAUAGGGGAGCCGAAGGGAAACCGAGUCUUAACUGGGCGUUAAGUUGCAGGGUAUAGACCCGAAACCCGGUGAUCUAGCCAUGGGCAGGUUGAAGGUUGGGUAACACUAACUGGAGGACCGAACCGACUAAUGUUGAAAAAUUAGCGGAUGACUUGUGGCUGGGGGUGAAAGGCCAAUCAAACCGGGAGAUAGCUGGUUCUCCCCGAAAGCUAUUUAGGUAGCGCCUCGUGAAUUCAUCUCCGGGGGUAGAGCACUGUUUCGGCAAGGGGGUCAUCCCGACUUACCAACCCGAUGCAAACUGCGAAUACCGGAGAAUGUUAUCACGGGAGACACACGGCGGGUGCUAACGUCCGUCGUGAAGAGGGAAACAACCCAGACCGCCAGCUAAGGUCCCAAAGUCAUGGUUAAGUGGGAAACGAUGUGGGAAGGCCCAGACAGCCAGGAUGUUGGCUUAGAAGCAGCCAUCAUUUAAAGAAAGCGUAAUAGCUCACUGGUCGAGUCGGCCUGCGCGGAAGAUGUAACGGGGCUAAACCAUGCACCGAAGCUGCGGCAGCGAUGCUUAUGCGUUGUUGGGUAGGGGAGCGUUCUGUAAGCCUGCGAAGGUGUGCUGUGAGGCAUGCUGGAGGUAUCAGAAGUGCGAAUGCUGACAUAAGUAACGAUAAAGCGGGUGAAAAGCCCGCUCGCCGGAAGACCAAGGGUUCCUGUCCAACGUUAAUCGGGGCAGGGUGAGUCGACCCCUAAGGCGAGGCCGAAAGGCGUAGUCGAUGGGAAACAGGUUAAUAUUCCUGUACUUGGUGUUACUGCGAAGGGGGGACGGAGAAGGCUAUGUUGGCCGGGCGACGGUUGUCCCGGUUUAAGCGUGUAGGCUGGUUUUCCAGGCAAAUCCGGAAAAUCAAGGCUGAGGCGUGAUGACGAGGCACUACGGUGCUGAAGCAACAAAUGCCCUGCUUCCAGGAAAAGCCUCUAAGCAUCAGGUAACAUCAAAUCGUACCCCAAACCGACACAGGUGGUCAGGUAGAGAAUACCAAGGCGCUUGAGAGAACUCGGGUGAAGGAACUAGGCAAAAUGGUGCCGUAACUUCGGGAGAAGGCACGCUGAUAUGUAGGUGAAGUCCCUUGCGGAUGGAGCUGAAAUCAGUCGAAGAUACCAGCUGGCUGCAACUGUUUAUUAAAAACACAGCACUGUGCAAACACGAAAGUGGACGUAUACGGUGUGACGCCUGCCCGGUGCCGGAAGGUUAAUUGAUGGGGUCAGCGCAAGCGAAGCUCUUGAUCGAAGCCCCGGUAAACGGCGGCCGUAACUAUAACGGUCCUAAGGUAGCGAAAUUCCUUGUCGGGUAAGUUCCGACCUGCACGAAUGGCGUAAUGAUGGCCAGGCUGUCUCCACCCGAGACUCAGUGAAAUUGAACUCGCUGUGAAGAUGCAGUGUACCCGCGGCAAGACGGAAAGACCCCGUGAACCUUUACUAUAGCUUGACACUGAACAUUGAGCCUUGAUGUGUAGGAUAGGUGGGAGGCUUUGAAGUGUGGACGCCAGUCUGCAUGGAGCCGGCCUUGAAAUACCACCCUUUAAUGUUUGAUGUUCUAACGUGGACCCGUGAUCCGGGUUGCGGACAGUGUCUGGUGGGUAGUUUGACUGGGGCGGUCUCCUCCUAAAGAGUAACGGAGGAGCACGAAGGUUGGCUAAUCCUGGUCGGACAUCAGGAGGUUAGUGCAAUGGCAUAAGCCAGCUUGACUGCGAGCGUGACGGCGCGAGCAGGUGCGAAAGCAGGUCAUAGUGAUCCGGUGGUUCUGAAUGGAAGGGCCAUCGCUCAACGGAUAAAAGGUACUCCGGGGAUAACAGGCUGAUACCGCCCAAGAGUUCAUAUCGACGGCGGUGUUUGGCACCUCGAUGUCGGCUCAUCACAUCCUGGGGCUGAAGUAGGUCCCAAGGGUAUGGCUGUUCGCCAUUUAAAGUGGUACGCGAGCUGGGUUUAGAACGUCGUGAGACAGUUCGGUCCCUAUCUGCCGUGGGCGCUGGAGAACUGAGGGGGGCUGCUCCUAGUACGAGAGGACCGGAGUGGACGCAUCACUGGUGUUCGGGUUGUCAUGCCAAUGGCA
rnacentral:rRNA from 1 species